UGGUUCUGGCAUCGAUGAAGAACGCAGCGAAAUGCGAUAAGUAAUGUGAAUUGCAGAAUUCAGUGAAUCAUCGAAUCUUUGAACGCACAUUGCGCCCGCUAGUAUUCUAGCAGGCAUGCCUGUUCGAGCGUCAUUUCAACCCUCAAGCUCUGCUUGGUGUUGGGGACCCGCCGACCUCUUCGGAGAGGCGUUCCCCCAAAGAUAGUGGCGGACCCGCUGGUGUCUUUCCCCUUGCGUAGUAGUUUCUCUAACGAGCCUCGCACUGGGACCCGGUGGUGUUCUAGCCGUUAAACCCCUAUAUUUCAAUGGUUGACCUCGGAUCAGGUAGGAAUACCCGCUGA
rnacentral:misc_RNA from 1 species